rnacentral:rRNA from 1 species
AUUGAACGCUGGCGGCCGGCCUAACACAUGCAAGUCGAACGAGCGGCGGACGGGUGAGUAAUAUAUCGGGACCUGCCCAAUAGAGGGGGAUAACUACUGGAAAGGGUGGCUAUUACCGCAUACUAUCGGAGCAACCGAUAUCGGAUUGGCUAGUAGGUGGGGUAAAGGCUAACCUAGGCGACGAUCGGUAGCUGGUGUGAGAGGGUGAUCAGCCACACUGGGACUGAGACACGGCCCCGACUCCUACGGGAGGCAGCAGUGGGGAAUAUUGGAAAAUGGGAGCAACCCUGAUGCAGCCAUGCCGCGUGUAUGAAGAAGGCCUUAGGGUUGUAAAGUACUUUCAGCAGGGAUGCGUUAUCCGCAGAAGAAGCACGGGCUAACUCCGUGCCAGCAGCCGCGGUAAUAC